UUUCAUCUUCUCUUCUAAAUCUGAAAAGAAAAUAAUACAAACUAAUAAGUAUUAUCUCACAAAAUAUAGAAAUAAACAUACUUAAAUAAUUGACUUUUUUUUUUCUAAAUUAUCUUCUCAUGAUGCUGCAUGGCCACCUGUGGUAAAAUCUCCUUCACCUUAAGUUGAUCAGAUCAUUUAAUUCUAGCCAUUAAGGAUAACGGCAUGUGUCAAAAGUAGGACUUAUGCCUAGGUCAAAAUUAAAUGUUUAAUGAUUUAGGGCUUGUCCUCGGUUGGUAAGUAAUGACAUUUUUACUAUAAUAUAAGGUUUUCUUCUUAUUAAUUAAGGCUAUAUAGAAUAGAGGGAGGUGGCUUUAAAAAUAACGCCCUUCAUCCGGCAUUGUUUUUUUUUAGUUAGAAAAAGUCCAUAAAGCUUGCUAGAUGCUGUACAAUUACAUUUUUUCUGUCUUGUUUUAAUCUAUAUUUUCACAUUUUUGAAUUAGUAUUGUUGGACUGUAAACCACUGUUUAUUUUUAAAAUAGCCAUAAUUACUGUCACGUGUUUUUAUGUUUCUUAAAUUUUUUUUUUAUUAUUUUAGUAUUAUUUAUUAUUAGUAUAUUAUUAGUACUAUUAGCAGUAUUAGUAUUAUUUUAGGAUAUAACAAUACAGCACUGAGCGCCAAGAGUGUGCACAGGCUCCUCCCACAGCUAGAUUACGCGCUGACGCAAGUGCGCCGGAGCUCGAGCUGUUUGUAGUGAGGGAAGAAGGUCCGCUAUGUAAAGAAAGAGAGAGGAGAAGAAAGGAGCUGCACCGUGGAGAGAGAGAGAGAAACAGAGGGAUAAAGAGGAGGACAGACAGCGCUGAGGGACCGCAGGAGGUUUAUUCUACAGGUUCCGCGAUGAAGUCCAGAUAACCGGGGUCUGUGUGGCAGAGGCUGCGGUGUUUUCCACGGCGGAGGAAUGGAGAGGCCGCCGCGGCUGCUGUGCUCCGAGCUCCGGCUGCAGGGCCGGGUGUGUGAGGUGUCUCUGAGCGGCGCCGCGCUGUGCUGGAGGGAGGCCGGACAGAGCGGCCGAAGAUGGGGCUCUGCGGGAGUGUACGGCCCUCUAAAGGCUGGACCCCACAGGAGAGACCACCAAAGAACAGCUGUUAUUUGGGUGGUGGGCAGUGUCCUGUGGACAGCAACCUGUGACCACUGAUGAAGGUCUAGAUGGCGACCAAUACAAACUGUGCAACAACAGAAUCAGAGCUUCUGCCUCUGACUUUACUUUAUCUACAAGGUGGAGCAGCUACAGGUAGGAGUGAAUAAUAGA
rnacentral:lncRNA from 1 species